GGGUCCGUGUCCCGAGCGGCAAAGGGGACUGACUGUAAAUCAGUUGCGCAACGCGCUUCGGAGGUUCGAGUCCUCCCGGGCCCACUA
rnacentral:tRNA from 1 species